rnacentral:rRNA from 1 species
GGUUAAAAAGCUCGUAGUUGGAUUUCUGUUGGAGUCAGACGGUGCGCACCUCGUGCGUUAUUUGAAUGGCUUUGGCAUCCUCUGGGGGAACGUCUCUGGACUUAAUUGGACAGGGCGAGAUUCCAGACUUUUACUUUGAGGAAAUUAGAGUGUUCACGGCAGGCAAGUGCUUUGAAUACAUUAGCAUGGAAUAAUAAUAUAGGACCUUCGUUCUAUUUUGUUGGUUUCUAGAACUUAGGUAAUGAUUAAUAGGGACAAUUGGGGGCAUUCGUAUUAACGCGUCAGAGGUGGAAUUCUUGGAUUGCGUUACGACGAACUACUGCGAAAGCAUUUGCCAAAGAUGUUUUCAUUGAUCAAGAACGAAAGUAUGGGGAUCGAAGACGCUUAGAUACCGUCGUAGUCUAUACCAUAAACUAUGCCAACUAGGGAUG